rnacentral:rRNA from 1 species
GACGAACGCUGGCGGCGUGCUUAACACAUGCAAGUCGAACGGAAAGGCCCCUUUGGGGGUACUCGAGUGGCGAACGGGUGAGUAACACGUGAGUAACCUGCCCUUGACUUCGGGAUAACUUCAGGAAACUGGGGCUAAUACCGGAUAGGAAUCCUUGCUGCAUGGUGGGGGUUGGAAAGCUUCGGCGGUUUUGGAUGGACUCGCGGCGUAUCAGCUUGUUGGUGGGGUAGUGGGUUACCAAGGCUUUGACGGGUAGCCGGCCUGAGGGGGCGACCGGCCGCAUUGGGACUGAGAGACGGCCCAGACUCCGACGGGAGGCAGAAGGGGGGAAUAUUGCACAAUGGGCGGCAGCCUGAUGCAGCAACGCCGCGGGCGGGAUGACGGCCUUCGGGUUGUAAACCGCUUUCAGCAGGGGCGAAGCUUGUGGUGACGGUACCUGCAGAAGAAGCACCGGCUAACUACGUG